CAGACAGACAGGGGUUCAUAUAGAGACAGACAGACAGGGGUUCAUAUAGAGACAGACAGACAGGGGUUAAUAUAGAGACAGACAGACAGGGGUUAAUAUAGAGACAGACAGACAGGGGUUAAUAUAGAGACAGACAGACAGGGGUUAAUAUAGAGACAGACAGACAGGGGUUAAUAUAGAGACAGACAGACAGGGGUUAAUAUAGAGACAGACAGACAGGGGUUAAUAUAGAGACAGACAGACAGAGGUUAAUAUAGAGACAGACAGACAGGGGUUAAUAUAUAGACAGACAGACAGGGGUUAAUAUAGACAGACAGACAGGGGUUAAUAUAUAGACAGACAGGGGUUAAUAUAGACAGACAGAGGUUAAUAUAAACAGACAGACAGGGGUUAAUAUAGACAGACAGACAGGGGUUAAUAUAGACAGACAGGGGUUAAUAUAGACAGACAGGGGUUAAUAUAGACAGACAGACAGGGG